ensembl:lncRNA
GUUUCGUAAGGAUCUUGUGUAAGGCUGUUGUUACAUAGUCUUCAAUGGCUAUUACAUAUAUAUGUAGUAGCUAUCUACAGUGUUUCCAGAAGUCCGGAAAAUUGUCAGUCGCUCACGUCGCAUGUGAAGAUGUAUCCGAAAAGAAAAAGUGCAAUGGAUAGUCAAAUUAUUUCGGCAGAAAUUGCUUUAGGUCUUGUUCUGUGUACAGCAUAUCGGAUAAUUUCGAAGAACAUUUUCAGUCAACAGUAUGUUUGAACGCGGCACGUAUAACAACAACCAGUAAGUCGAAGAUGUCCAAGAGUCCUAGUUCCCGACUAGCAUUGGAACGCG